GACGAACCGUGCGAACGUUGUUCGGAAUCACUGGGCGUAAAGGGCGCGUAGGCGGCGCGGAUAGUCGGCGGUGAAAGCCCGGAGCUCAACUCCGGGUCGGCCGUCGAUACUUCCGGGCUUGAGCACUGUAGAGGCAGAUGGAAUUCCGGGUGUAGCGGUGGAAUGCGUAGAGAUCCGGAAGAACACCGGUGGCGAAGGCAGAUCUCUGGGCCGUAACUGACGCUGAGGAGCGAAAGCAUGGGGAGCGAACAGG
rnacentral:rRNA from 1 species